GGAAUAUUGGGCAAUGGGCGCAAGCCUGACCCAGCCAUGCCGCGUGAGUGAUGACGGCCUUAGGGUUGUAAAGCUCUUUCAGUAGUGACGAUGAUGACAGUAGCUACAGAAGAAGCCCCGGCUAACUUCGUGCCAGCAGCCGCGGUAAUACGAAGGGGGCUAGCGUUGUUCGGAUUUACUGGGCGUAAAGGGCACGCAGGCGGCUUAACAAGUUGGGGGUGAAAUCCCGGGGCUUAACCUCGGAACUGCCUUCAAAACUGUUAAGCUAGAGAUCGAGAGAGGUGAGUGGAAUUCCUAGUGUAGAGGUGAAAUUCGUAGAUAUUAGGAGGAACACCAGUGGCGAAGGCGGCUCACUGGCUCGAAUCUGACGCUCAGGUGCGAAAGCGUGGGGAGCAAAC
rnacentral:rRNA from 1 species